rnacentral:lncRNA from 1 species
AGUGCUGGGAUUACAGGCGUGAGCCACCGUGCCCAGCCCAACACAUGGUAUUUUCUGUCAUUUUCAUUUAGUCUUCUGGUUGCUGUGUGAUGGUCUCAGGCUUUAUUUACAUUUCUCUGAUUGCUAACAGACUUGAACAUUUCAGCACACUUUUUAGUUAUUGGAUAACCUCUAUUUUGAAGACUUAUUUUGCUCAUCUCCCACUAUUUUAGGGGUCUUUUUCUUCUUGAUUUAUAGUGGUUCUUUACAUGAAGCUGGGUAAGAGUCCUUUCUUUGGUAUUGCUCUCACUCAGUCUCUCUGUAUUUUGAUAAGCUCUUAAUUUUAAUAAAUUGUAUUUGUUAUUUUCCCCAGUAUAUUAAAUACUUUUUAUUUAAGAAAUAUUUCUCUUAAGGCCACAGAAAUUUUGUUUUUUAAAUGAGGAUGUAUAUUUAAAAUUUUAUUUUGCAAUUCAUUCAGAAUUGAGUGUUUUUGUGGCUAGGAAUUCAAUUUUUCCAGUAAACUAACAAAAUAUAAUUUAUUCUGUAUUUUGAUAAGUUGUUAAUUUUAAUAGAAUGUUAUUUAUUCUUUCCCCCAGCAUAUUAAUUUUUUUUGUUUUAUUUAAGAAAUCUUUCUCUAUUUUAAGGCCACAGAAAUGUUUUUGUUUUUUUAAUCAGGAUGUAUAUUUAAAAUUUGAUUUAGCAGUUUAUUCCGAAUUGAGAUUUUUUUUGUGGCCAGGAAUUUUUUUCCAAUAAGCUAACAAAAUAUAAUGAAUUCUUUUUUAUUUGCUGUCACCUGUCAUUGUCUCACCCAAGUUAGUAUCAUCUCACCCUCAGAGCUGGCUUUUUGGUGAAGACAUAUAAUCCUGCUCCUUUCUUCAUCUUUCAGUUCUCAGCAGCCCCACAGCACCAGAGUCAGUGGUGGUUUUGGUCAGAAACCUUCAGUGGGCCUUUUUUGCUCAAUGGAUAAAUUAUUUUCAUAUUUUAUUUGUAUGUUUAAUUUUAAAAUAUUAGUUGACAGAUAAUAUUGGAUAUAUUCAAGAUAUCUCCAAAGACACAUUGUGUGGUAAUUGUUACAAAACCAAUGUCUACCAUGACUUACAAGUUUGUCCUCCACCUAAAUUUGUGUUGAAACUUUAAACUCCAAAACAAUAAUAUUAAGAAGUGGGGCCUUUAGCGGGUGGUGAGGUCACAAAGGCUGUGCCCUCAUCAUUGAGAUUAAUGACUUCAUAAAAGAACUUGAGGGAGUGAGUUCUGCCCUUUCUGCCCUUCUGCUAUCUGUGAACGUAACAUUCAGGGAGUCAUCUUGAAGGCAGAGAGCAAGGUCUUCACCAGAGACAAUCUGCCAAUGGCUGGAUUUUGCACUUCCCGGCCUAUAUAACUGUGAGCGAUGAAUUUACGUCACGUAUAAACUACCUAGUCAGGUAUUUUGUUAAAGCAGCAGGAAUGGGCUGAGACAACAUCUAUUGCCACCCGUGCUGUACAUUAGAUUGCCAGAACUUAUUCAUCUUAAAACUGAAAGUUGGUACCUUUUGAGCCAUGUCUCCCCAUAUCCCCUACCUUCCGGCCCCUGGAAACCACUAUGUAGUCUGUUUCUAUGAGUUCAAUGUUUUUAAGCGCCAUAUAAGUAAAAUCAUAUAACAUUUGUCUUUCUGUAUCUGACUUAUUUUACUUAACAUUCUCCAGCUUCAUCCAUAUUUUCACAAAUGACAAGACUUUAUUCUUUCUUAUGGCUGAAUAAUAUUUCAUUGUGUGUGUGUGUGUGUGUGUACAUCUCACAAUUUCUUUAUCCGUUCACCUAUGAAUGGGCAUUUAGGUUGUUUCCGUGUCUUUGACUAUUGUGAAAAAUGCUGCAAUAAACCUGUGAUUGCAGAAUUCCCUCUGAGAUACUGACUUUAUUUCCUUUGGAUGUAAUACCCAGACGUGGGCUUGCUGGAUAAUAUGGUAGUUCUGUUUUAAUAUUGUGAUGAGCCACCUUACUGUUUUUUAUAAGGACUGUAUCAAUAUUCUCAUAUAUGUAAGGGAAUGUUGCUCCCUUUUGGGAGACAAUGCUUCAUGGAUCUCUCACUUCAUUUUCCCACAUCUUGUGUAAGCGUUUCUUCCGGGCUGUCUUUUUCAGAAUUUUUUUAAAUGAAAGAAACAGACUUGAAGGAUGUGUCUCGUCAGGUCUGUAAUUUGGACAAUUGAAUAAAGAUUAUGCCUUUCUCUGAGGCACUGGUUGGCAGGUUUUCUUUGAAACACAUGUUAAAGCACUGGGAUUUCUUAACCUUGAGAUUCCUCAGCUGUGAUCAAAAUCUACUGUGCAGAAAGUAUCCAGUUGGGUCUCUUGGUAUCAUCCCUGUCACUUGGAGUGGAAUGGGGAACAAAUGCAAAUAUGGAGCUCUUGCUUUCAUUUGUGUGGUGAAUCAUCAAAUAUUUUCAUCAGGCCCAGGAAUCUCAUGCCUUCUUUUAAUAUCCAUGAAGUUGACAGUCUUAAUUUUUUGGUUUGUAAAUAGAGAAAAAAAAAUCCAAGAAUGUUCACAUUUUUGACAGCUUGGGUGAUGAUGAGAUUGAUUCUGAGAGAUCUAUAACCUUAUAACUUUGUAUAAGAGGAAAGUAGAAAGACUCUUCACAGACCUGGCCAGGGCGUAUGAGAAGGCUUCCUGGAACAAGCAGCAAAUUCUCUCACCCAAACGAGAGUGAAGUGAGAGUAAGAUCCCUCCAUUCUCCAACCUGUUAGCGAGGCUGUUGUGUGAGAGGGAGAAUUGAAAGGAGCAGUCUAAAUGUGCCUCAUAUGUUCAUUCUGCUAGCCAAGGUAGGAAACAAUGAGGAGUCCCCAAAGCUGAUAGAAGACUUAGGAUAAAUAGAAAAUAUUGUAAGUUCUUGUGGUUUUGCUGAAAGCAGUCAACAGGCUGCUAGCAACUAAAAGAAAAUGUGGGUGUUGGUACCUUGCUUAUAAGCAGAGAGUCUCUCUAUGUACUUGCUGAUACCAAAACUCCACUGACAGGGCUUGGACAGGGUUCACCAUGAGGGCAGAAAUGCCACAGAACAAUGGAGGUGGGGCCUUUGGGGCUAACUCAGUGUCCUCUGUGUUUCUACACCAAACUUCACAGUUAGAAUUGUGUUACCUGUGUUUGUGCUUCCCUGUCCCCUGAGUGCCGGCGGGGAUUAUUCCAGUCUGGGUGAGAGACAGACUUCUCCAUUUGCCACAGAGGGCAGGUCAGUCUUUAUCAUGAGAACCUUUACAUUCUGAUGUCCAAAAUGUUCACCCUGCAUGAGCUGUUAGCUGCAAAGACAAAGGUGUCUGUCUCAGUGCUCCUGUCUAGAAUGGUAAUAUCUCUCUGCUAGUAGAUGUAGCUGAUAAUUGAAACCGUGCUUCAGAAAGUUAAAGAAGCAGCCAGGCGCGGUGGCUCACCUGUAAUCUCAGCACUUUGGGAGGCUGAGCCACGUGGAUCAUGAAGUCAGGAGUUCGAGACCAGCCUGGCCAACAUAGUGAAACCCCAUCUCUAAUAAAAACACAAAAAUUAGCCAGGCGUGGUGGCACGUGCCUGUAAUCCCAGCUAUUCUGGAGGCUGAGGCGGGAGAAUGGCUUGAACCCAGGAGGCGGAGGCUGCAGUGGGCCGAGAUCAGGACACUGGACUCCAGCCUGGGCAACAGAGCAAGACUCUGUCUCAAAAAAAAAAAAAGUUAAGCCAAUGACUAACAGAAAUCCUUGAGUUUACAGGAUGGCAAAUUAAAACAAAACAAAACACACACACACAACUUCUUAAAACACUGAAGUUCCCUCCACUUAUGGGAUAAAGUAACUGGCUGAAAUUGGUUUGAACAAAUAUGACCAAUGGGACUGUGCACAGAGUGAGCUUGCUGACAUCAUAGCCUGAAUUUCUACCACGUUUCCUACUAACUCCCCCAAAAUUUGCACAUAUGACCCAUGAGGAAGCAUGAAGAACUGGGCAUGCCCAUGGGUGUUCCAGACCUCCCGUUAUCUGCUAGUCACCUCCUAAGCUCAGAAGCUACCCCCGUACCUUUUCUAGUAGAAAUUCUGCUGUGAUGCCAGCAGAGGGAGACAGAUUCGAGCUUGGGACUCCUGUCUCUUUGAGAGUGAACUUUCAAUAUAAAACUUUUCUCAAAAACAAAAAACCAAUGACAACUCAGUGUAUUGGCCCCUAGCAUAUUGGGUAGUAAGCCCUGUUUUCUCAAUAACAAGAAGACCUGAAAAAAACCCAGAGCUCCGCUUUCCAAAUAAGGUUUAGUGAAGCUAAGUGGGCAUAUUUUCAUUGCUCAAUUCUUCCAACAGUCAAGAAAAACGUGAUCACUUUGCCAUUUGGAGCCUUUGACAAAAAGAGCCUGCACCUAAACAUAUUCUUUGGCGUGUUUGACUCAUAGCCACCCUGACACUACUACAGGUUACACUAAUGUGCAAGUCAGUUAUAAGCUUGCUACAGAACUCCAGUCAAACUGAAUCCCAACUCAAGGAGGGCUGGGGGCUGCCUAGCUUUGCAUCCCAAUUUUGAGGUGGGUCAAUUUGAACUCUUAUGAAAGACCUCAAAAGACUACUUGUUAAAUAUAAGUAAUGUGUUCUAGAAGGAAAUUGGACUGACACAGAAAUAGUUCUAAAGGGAAAAUCGGAGUCUCUCUGUGGUGGGAAUUUUAUGCCCUGCUACACUAUCUGGAGCAAAGCUUCUGGCUCUGUGGGGCCCCCACCUCACUAAGUAUUCCCUAAAUUUCUUCCCUGGUUUACCGAUAGGUCGGGGAAACUGAUACCUCAUGGUGUUCACUGAGCUACCGUCUACGGUGGCUUUUGAACUUCAGUGCUAGCCAUGCGGAACUUGAGUGGGGUGGUCAUGCCACUCAAUGCUCAGAACUCAGGUUUCAUUGCUCACAUUCUAGCUGUUUGGUCUUUUGCAUUAAAAACUACAGACUGUCUGAAAAAAGGAAAUCUUUCAGGCUGCAAACUGGAAAUAACCUCAGCAGCUGAUUUACUGCUGUGUCAGGUCACUCAUUUACAAGUUUUUGGCCGGGCGCAGUGGCUUAUGCCUGUAAUCCCAGCACUUUGGGAGGCUGAGGCGGGUGGAUCACCUGAAGUCAGGAGUUUGAGUUGGCCAACAUGGUGAAACCCUGUCUCUACUAAAAAUGCAAAAAUUAUCCAAGCAUGGUGGCAGGCAUCUGUAAUCCCAGCUACUCAGGAGGCUGAAGCAAGAGAAUCGCUUAAUCGCUUGAACCCAGGAGGCGGAGGUUGCACUAAGCCGAGAAUGCACCACUGCCCUCCAGCCUGGGCGACAAGAGUGAAACUCCGUCUCAAAAAGAAAAAAAAAA